ACGAACGCUGGCGGCGUGCCUAAUACAUGCAAGUCGAGCGGAAUGAUGAAGAAGCUUGCUUCUUCUGAUUUUAGCGGCGGACGGGUGAGUAACACGUGGGCAACCUACCUUGUAGAUUGGGAUAACUCCGGGAAACCGGGGCUAAUACCGAAUAAUCCAUUUUGCUUCAUGGCGAGAUGUUGAAAGACGGUUUCGGCUGUCACUACAAGAUGGGCCCGCGGCGCAUUAGCUAGUUGGUAGGGUAAUGGCCUACCAAGGCGACGAUGCGUAGCCGACCUGAGAGGGUGAUCGGCCACACUGGGACUGAGACACGGCCCAGACUCCUACGGGAGGCAGCAGUAGGGAAUCUUCCACAAUGGACGAAAGUCUGAUGGAGCAACGCCGCGUGAGUGAAGAAGGUUUUCGGAUCGUAAAACUCUGUUGUAAGGGAAGAACACAUACGAGAGUAACUGCUCGUACCUUGACGGUACCUUAUUAGAAAGCCACGGCUAACUACGUG
rnacentral:rRNA from 1 species